UGGGGAAUAUUGCACAAUGGGCGCAAGCCUGAUGCAGCAACGCCGCGUGAACGAUGAAGGUCUUCGGAUCGUAAAGUUCUGUUGCAGGGGAAGAUAAUGACGGUACCCUGUGAGGAAGCCCCGGCUAACUACGUGCCAGCAGCCGCGGUAAUACGUAGGGGGCUAGCGUUAUCCGGAUUUACUGGGCGUAAAGGGUGCGUAGGUGGUCUUUCAAGUCGGUGGUUAAAGGCUACGGCUCAACCGUAGUUAGCCUCCGAAACUGGAAGACUUGAGUGCAGGAGAGGAAAGUGGAAUUCCCAGUGUAGCGGUGAAAUGCGUAGAUAUUGGGAGGAACACCAGUAGCGAAGGCAGCUUGCUGGACUGCAACUGAAACUGAGGCACGAAAGCGUGGGUAGCAAACAGG
rnacentral:rRNA from 1 species